CUAUGCGCCUUGCCAGCCGCUCAGGUGUGCCAGCAGCCGCGGUAAUACGUAGGGAGCAAGCGUUAUCCGGAAUUAUUGGGUGUAAAGGGAGCGUAGACGGCAGGGCAAGUCUGGAGUGAAAGGCGGGGGCUCAACCCCCGGACUGCUCUGGAAACUGCCAGGCUGGAGUGCAGGAGAGGUAAGUGGAAUUCCUAGUGUAGCGGUGAAAUGCGUAGAUAUUAGGAGGAACACCAGUGGCGAAGGCGGCUUACUGGACUGUAACUGACGUUGAGGCUCGAAAGCGUGGGGAGCAAACAGG
rnacentral:rRNA from 1 species